rnacentral:rRNA from 1 species
AUUGAACGCUGGCGGAAUGCUUUACACAUGCAAGUCGAACGGCAGCAUAGAGAGCUUGCUCUCUGAUGGCGAGUGGCGAACGGGUGAGUAAUAUAUCGGAACGUGCCUAGUAAUGGGGAAUAACUAGCUGAAAGGUUAGCUAAUGCCGCAUACGACCUACGGGUGAAAGCAGGGGAUCUUCGGACCUUGCGUUAUUAGAGCGGCCGAUAUCUGAUUAGCUUGUUGGUGGGGUAAUGGCCUACCAAGGCGACGAUCAGUAGCUGGUCUGAGAGGACGAUCAGCCACACUGGAACUGAGACACGGUCCAGACUCCUACGGGAGGCAGCAGUGGGGAAUUUUGUACAAUGGGGGCAACCCUGAUACAGCCAUUCCGCGUGAGUGAAGAAGGCCUUCGGGUUGUAAAGCUCUUUCGCAAGAGAAGAAAACUUGCUAUCUAAUAAAUAGUAAGUAUGACGGUAUCUUGACAAGAAGCACCGGCUAACUACGUGCCAGCAGCCGCGGUAAUACGUAGGGUGCAAGCGUUAAUCGGAAUUACUGGGCGUAAAGCGUGCGCAGGCAGUUUUAUAAGUCAGAUGUGAAAUCCCCGAGCUCAACUUGGGAACUGCGUUUGAAACUAUAAGACUAGAGUGUGUCAGAGGGGGGUAGAAUUCCAAGUGUAGCAGUGAAAUGCGUAGAGAUUUGGAGGAAUACCAAUGGCGAAGGCAGCCCCCUGGGAUAACACU